AAUAUAAAGACAAACGCUGGAGUUCUUGAGACUCUUGAGGAAAGUCCAUGCUCGCACAGUCUGUGAUGACUGUAGUGUUCGUGCCUAGGGAAACCAUAACCUAGGGUAGUUUAACUAACGGCGGAUCCUAUUUCUAAGUCUUUGGAUAUGAAAUAGUCCAUAAAGUGCCACAGUGACGAUGCUUUUUGAAAGAAAAGAGUGAAACGUGGUAAACCCCGCGAGCGAGAAACCCAAAUUUGGUAGGGGAGUCCUAACGAAAGAAAUGAAUGGAGUUAGGGACUAGUAAUAGUAGAUAAAUGUUUGUCGCCUGGUAACAGGAACAGAACAUGGCUUAUUUAU
rnacentral:RNase_P_RNA from 1 species